AAAAAAUAUUUUUCAUACUAUAUAUAUUGGGUGGUUAAAAUGAUGUUGAAUUUCAUAUUUGAUUAGACAGAUUUUAUUUGACCUUGUUUCAAUGUUGAUAGCAAAAUGGUAUGUUUGAAUCAACGUCAUUGUUUCAACGUCAUGCCAUCAACCUAAAUAAUGAGGUAUAUUGGAAUAAAAUGUGAAGCCACAGUCUAACCAUUCCUGCCUGAACAGUGACUCCUACUGGUACACCGGCACGUGUACAGAUAGGGCUCUACCUGUGCAGAGCACAUGCCCCUUUUCCAAUCCAGUCUCCAAAGUGCCCUUUCCGGUGGUGGUAUAAUUUCCCCCCAAAUUAUCAUUUUUAAGUCAUUGUUGUUUCACCCCAUCUGUUGGUUGCACCUGUUGAUCUGCCCUGUACGGAGCUUGCACACCUCCGGAUGAGCCUUUUUCCUAGUCUGCCCUGCACAGAGAUUGUGCACCUGGUAUCCAAACAUGCAUGGCUUGAGAGAUGCGGUCACCGGUCGAGUGUGUGUAGCUAGCUACCUAGUUGUCAACGUGAAGCUAAGUAUACCAUUAUUCGUCUAUGGUUGAUUGGAUCUUUGUAAGUUUAGAAGUAGUUACCAUUAGCCCUUUAAAUAGGAUGCUAAAUUCAUGACAUUAAUAAUAAACGUUUACCUUUGGAUAUGGUCUUGUAUAUGUGUUAUUCAUAAUAUAUACUAUCCAAGUAGAAGAUACUGUAUAUCUCCUUCAAAUGUUGAUAUUUGGUUGCGUGGACAACUCAACAUCCAGUUUGUCUUCAAAUUAACGACUGAAUAUGUUGGAUUCACUUCUCCAUCUCAACCAUAAAUCUAAGUUAAAGAUUGGCACUGGAAUGAAAUCAAUCUUUAAAUGCACUUUAAAUACAUCUUUAAAUGUCCUUUAAAUACAUCUUUAAAUGUCCUUUAAAUACAUCUUUAAAUGUCCUUUAAAUACAUCUUUAAAUAAUCUUUAAAUGUCCUUUAAAUACAUCUUUAAAUAAUCUUUAAAUGUCCUUUAAAUACAUCU
rnacentral:lncRNA from 1 species